rnacentral:rRNA from 1 species
GAUGAACGCUAGCGGCAGGCUUAACACAUGCAAGUCGAGGGGCAGCACGGGUAGCAAUACCUGGUGGCGACCGGCGCAAGGGUGCGUAACGCGUGAGCAACAUGCCCUAUACAGGGGGAUAAUCCAGGGAAACUUGGUCUAAUAUCCCAUAGCAUUUAGAGGAGGCAUCUUCACUAAAUUAAAGCUUCGGUGGUAUAGGAUUGGCUCGCGUGACAUUAGCUAGAUGGUGAGGUAACGGCCCACCAUGGCUAUGAUGUCUAGGGGUUCUGAGAGGAAGACCCCCCACACUGGGACUGAGACACGGCCCAGACUCCUACGGGAGGCAGCAGUGAGGAAUAUUGGACAAUGGAUGGAAAUCUGAUCCAGCCAUGCCGCGUGCAGGAAGACGGCCCUAUGGGUUGUAAACUGCUUUUAUAUGGGAGCAAAUAAGGUUUACGAGUAGACCGAUGAGAGUACCAUAUGAAUAAGCAUCGGCUAA